GUCCACGCCGUAAACGAUGAUUACUAGUUGUUUGCGAUACACAGCAAGUAACUAAGCGAAAGCGAUAAGUAAUCCACCUGGGGAGUACGCCGGCAACGGUGAAACUCAAAGGAAUUGACGGGGCCCGCACAAGCGGAGGAACAUGUGGUUUAAUUCGAUGAUACGCGAGGAACCUUACCCGGGCUUGAAAUGUACCUGACCGACGGAGAAAUUCGUUUUCUAGCAAUAGCAGGUAUGUAGGUGCUGCAUGGUUGUCGU
rnacentral:rRNA from 1 species